UGCCACUCUGCAGACCAUGGACCGUGUAGUGGUUCUGCUUGAUGUUGGGCACGAUCAUCCAGCUGUCGGCAGAGUUACACAGACCUGCAAAGCCAAGCAGACACGGCGCACUGCUUUGUCAUCUCUGCACCUCUGAUCCCCCACUGAUAAACUCGGGGGUGCAGGCUCCUGCCUACGAUAGUGCUGCGCGUGGUGCCCGUGCGUGAUGCGUUGUGAGGCGCCGUGGCGAGGAGAAGGAAGCAGCGAGUUACCACGGGUUCCACCCUCGGCCUCCCCCACCACCCCAUGCUCAUGACUGUGAUCGUUAAAUUGGAAUCUCAUCAAUUCUGAGCCUCACAGCCGGUGAGAAGAGACCUGAAUCACCUCGCUGAUGCUGAAAACAUCUCUUUGGUAUUGGGCCCAGCUCUCCUCUCUCCACCCAUCAAUCUCCACUCUGAGAGAACCUUUGCCCAGCCCCCCGGUGACUGGCUGUCAUGAAGUUUCCUGACUCUGGUGAAUUUCCUUCACCAGUUCUUGGUAGAGGGCUGAGCCCCCCCACUUCCUGAGGGGCUCCAACCCCCCCCACCCUUUCCCUUUCAAUGGAUUUGCAAGUCAAAGAGUUAGUUCUUUUGAUCUUGAGGCAACUUAUACCUUACUGUAAUCCCA